CGCGUGAAGUUGACCGCCUGGGGAGUACGGCCGCAAGGUUAAAACUCAAAGGAAUUGACGGGGACCCGCACAAGCGGUGGAUGAUGUGGUUUAAUUCGAUGCAACGCGAAAAACCUUACCCACCUUUGACAUGUAUGGAAGACUGCAGAGACGCAGUUGUGCUCGAAAGAGAGCCAUAACACAGGUGCUGCAUGGCUGUCGUCAGCUCGUGUCGUGAGAUGUUGGGUUAAGUCCCGCAACGAGCGCAACCCUUGUCAUUAGUUGCUACAUUUAGUUGGGCACUCUAAUGAGACUGCCGGUGACAAACCGGAGGAAGGUGGGGAUGACGUCAAGUCCUCAUGGCCCUUAUAGGUGGGGCUACACACGUCAUACAAUGGCUGGUACAAAGGGUUGCCAACCCGCGAGGGGGAGCCAAUCCCAUAAAGCCAGUCGUAGUCCGGAUCGCAGUCUGCAACUCGACUGCGUGAAGUCGGAAUCGCUAGUAAUCGCGGAUCAGAAUGUCGCGGUGAAUACGUUCCCGGGUCUUGUACACACCGCCCGUCACACCAUGGGAGUGGGUUCUACCAGAAGUAGGUAGCCUAACCGCAAGGAGGGCGCUUACCACGGUAGGGCUCAUGACUGGGGUGAAGUCGUAACAAGGUAACCAAGG
rnacentral:rRNA from 1 species